UACGGAGGGAGCUAGCGUUAUUCGGAAUUACUGGGCGUAAAGCGCACGUAGGCGGCUUUGUAAGUAAGAGGUGAAAGCCCAGAGCUCAACUCUGGAAUUGCCUUUAAGACUGCAUCGCUUGAACAUCGGAGAGGUAAGUGGAAUUCCGAGUGUAGAGGUGAAAUUCGUAGAUAUUCGGAAGAACACCAGUGGCGAAGGCGACUUACUGGACGAUUGUUGACGCUGAGGUGCGAAAGCGUGGGGAGCAAACAGG
rnacentral:rRNA from 1 species